UACGGAGGGUGCAAGCGUUAUCCGGAUUCACUGGGUUUAAAGGGUGCGUAGGUGGGUUGGUAAGUCAGUGGUGAAAUCUCCGAGCUUAACUUGGGAACUGCCGUGGAUACUAUCAAUCUUGAAUAUCGUGGAGGUAAGCGGAAUAUGUCAUGUAGCGGUGAAAUGCUUAGAUAUGACAUAGAACACCAAUUGCGUAGGCAGCUUACUACACGAUCAUUGACGCUGAGGCACGAAAGCGUGGGGAGCAAACAGG
rnacentral:rRNA from 1 species